GUGCUUGCUACAGCAGCACAUAUACUAAAACUGUGAAUGAUAAAGAGAUUAGCAUGAGCUCUGCACAAGGAUGACAUGCAAAUUCAGAAAUGGUUCCUUUGUUGAU
rfam:Ictidomys tridecemlineatus contig017763, whole genome shotgun sequence.